GGGCGAUUGGGCCAAGGCGACGAUCCGUAGCUGGUCUGAGAGGAUGAUCAGCCACACUGGGACUGAGACACGGCCCAGACUCCUACGGGAGGCAGCAGUGGGGAAUAUUGGACAAUGGGGGCAACCCUGAUCCAGCAAUGCCGCGUGUGUGAAGAAGGCCUUCGGGUUGUAAAGCACUUUUAUCCGGAACGAAACGCGCAGGGUGAAUAUCCUUGCGAACUGACGGUACCGGAGGAAUAAGCACCGGCUAACUUCGUGCCAGCAGCCGCGGUAAUA
rnacentral:rRNA from 1 species